rnacentral:rRNA from 1 species
UACGUAGGUGGCAAGCGUUAUCCGGAUUUAUUGGGCGUAAAGGGAACGCAGGCGGUCUUUUAAGUCUGAUGUGAAAGCCUUCGGCUUAACCGGAGUAGUGCAUUGGAGACUGGGAGACUUGAGUGCAAAAGAGGAGAGUGGAACUCCAUGUGUAGCGGUGAAAUGCGUAGAUAUAUGGAAGAACACCAGUGGCGAAAGCGGCUCUCUGGUCUGUAACUGACGCUGAGGUUCGAAAGCGUGGGUAGCAAACAGG